UGCCAGCUGCCUGCAAUUACUGCAAGUUCAAUUCUCACCAGGCUCACGGUUGACUCAGCCUUCCAUCCUUUCGAGGUGGAUUUUCCUUUUUUCUAAGGAGGACAGCAUGUCAGAUCCUUAUCAUGAUGCUGCCAUUCUUCUGGGAGAAGGGGGCACCAUAGAUGUAUUACUUAGUUUAUUGCUUUCUUCCUCACUCUUUCAUAACAUGUAACCUUUCACUUUAUAACCUUUAUCCUGGUGGAUAGGCAUCUUGAGAUUUUCUCACCUUUAGGGGAAAGGAGGGGAAGGGAGGGCCAUGUGGAUUGUAUCACUCUGAAAGCCGGCGGAAGAUGACUCUGAAAAACGUUCACUUAUACGUUCUCAGGCUGGCCGUUACGAUAAUAUCUCCACACCUGCUGAUUGGCUGAAUACACAUUGGACUGAAGGGAGGGGUUUCUAAUUCCUUUAUCCUAACUGUAUUGCCUGACGGAAACUCGGAGUCUGCUUUUCCUUUAAUCUUGCUAUCACUCCUGUUCAAUAAAAGGUUCCUUUUAAAAUGCUAAA